rnacentral:lncRNA from 1 species
UUUCCUUGAGUUUUAAACUCACAUUGCAAGUUUUGAGCAUUUAAACCAAGUUUUGGAGCUUUGGGAACUCAGGAGCUCAUUUUCGUGGAUCUCCAAGUUUAGGUCGUCUCCCUCUCGAUCUUCAAGAGGUAAGAGCCGAUCUUAAGCUCCUUAUAUGUUUUAAGUAAGUUUUAAGUUGUUUUAUGGGUAGAGAUGCAUGUUUAGGCUUAUUGAUGAGUUUAUGGGUUUUGAUGUUUUGAUGAACAAUGUAUGUUGUUUGUGUGUGUUGAAGUGUUGUAGUUGGGGUAUUUGAUAGUUUGAGACCCCUAGGUGUGAUGUAUGGUGUUUAUGCAUG